AUACGUAGGUGACAAGCGUUAUCCGGAUUUACUGGGCGUAAAGGGCGUGUAGGCGGUCUUGCAAGUCAGAAGUGAAAUUCCUGAGCUCAACUCGGGCGCUGCUUCUGAAACUGCGGGACUUGAGUGCUGGAGGGGAUAGCGGAAUUCCUAGUGGAGCGGUAAAAUGCGCAGAUAUUAGGAAGAACACCGGUGGCGAAGGCGGCUAUCUGGACAGUAACUGACGCUGAGGCGCGAAAGCUUGGGGAGCAAACAGGAUGAGAUACCCUGGGAGCCCACGCCGUAAACGAUGAAUACUAGGUGUAGGGGGUAUCGACUCCCCCUGUGCCGCAGGUAACACAAUAAGUAUUCCGCCUGGGGAGUACGGCCGCAAGGUUGAAACUCAAAGGAAUUGACGGGG
rnacentral:rRNA from 1 species